rnacentral:rRNA from 1 species
GAUGAACGCUGGCGGCGUGCCUAAUACAUGCAAGUCGAGCGAACAGACGAGGAGCUUGCUCCUCUAACGUUAGCGGCGGACGGGUGAGUAACACGUGGAUAACCUACCUAUAAGACUGGGAUAACUUCGGGAAACCGGAGCUAAUACCGGAUAAUAUAUUGAACCGCAUGGUUCAAUAGUGAAAGACGGUUUUGCUGUCACUUAUAGAUGGAUCCGCGCCGCAUUAGCUAGUUGGUAAGGUAACAGCUUACCAAGGCAACAAUGCGUAGCCGACCUGAGAGGGUGAUCGGCCACACUGGAACUGAGACACGGUCCAGACUCCUACGGGAGGCAGCAGUAGGGAAUCUUCCGCAAUGGGCGAAAGCCUGACGGAGCAACGCCGCGUGAGUGAUGAAGGUCUUCGGAUCGUAAAACUCUGUUAUUAGGGAAGAACAAAUGUGUAAGUAACUAUGCACGUCUUGACGGUACCUAAUCAGAAAGCCACGGCUAACUACGUG